GACGAACGCUGGCGGCGUGCUUAACACAUGCAAGUCGAGCGGUAAGGCCCUUCCGGGGGUACACGAGCGGCGAACGGGUGAGUAACACGUGGGUGACCUGCCCUCAGCUCUGGGAUAAGCCUGGGAAACUGGGUCUAAUACCGGAUAUGACUCCAUGACGCAUGUUGUGGGGUGGAAAGCCUUGUGCGGCUGAGGAUGGGCCCGCGGCCUAUCAGCUUGUUGGUGGGGNGAUGGCCUACCAAGGCGACGACGGGUAGCCGGCCUGAGAGGGCGACCGGCCACACUGGGACUGAGACACGGCCCAGACUCCUACGGGAGGCAGCAGUGGGGAAUCUUGCGCAAUGGGCGAAAGCCUGACGCAGCGACGCCGCGUGAGGGAUGACGGCCUCGGUGU
rnacentral:rRNA from 1 species